CCCAUCCAAAGAUGGUCAAGCAAACUCGUCCAUCGUCCUCUGAUCCUCAUCGGCCUAGGGGUUGAGGUUCUCCAUCGCGUCAACUCCUUGAACCUGAACUGUAACUCCGUCCUCCUCCUCAACUGCCUGCAAACGUCGUCUCAAUAAUCUGAGAGAGCGCUCCGGGUCAGAUAAGGGUGCUAUGGGAUCAGAGUUAGAGUUCCUGGUCAUAAGCUACCUGAAACGGAAAACCAAACAACCACCAAUCAACAAAAUAAAAUAAAAUAAAAUAA